AGGUGAUUCAGCGGCUCACCUCCAGAAGAGCUGGUGCAAUUCUGGACUGCCAAUGAGUAAGAACAAGUUAAAUCCAUUUUUCAAAAAUCCCACAGUUGAAAAGUCCAACUAAACCAUGUGGCAAUGAAAUCAUGUUUGACUCAGCAAAAAGCUAAGCUGACAGGUCGGAAAAAUGAUUAAUUAUCACCCUAAAAAUCUUUCAAGUAUACAAGUCACAUAAUGGAACUUAUUAAGGUGAUAGGCUGUUCCUGAAAAAAAAAAAAAUUGAGUUUCAAAGGUGAGAAUCGCAAGUAAUUGGCUAGGUUAUAUGAAAAUAGAGAUCCAUUCCAUAACAAUAGUUGCAUCCGGGAAAGACAUGAUCAAAGAUUAUGUCCGCUUAUUCGUCACCAGCCUUUCAGGAAUUUUUCAUCGAUGAAAAUUUUUUCUGACACUGAAAACUGAUUACAAGGCGGAUUGAAAUGGUACGUAAUCAGAAAAGCCUGAAAGAAGGAGUAAUGUUAGAAGAAAAGAACAAGCUGAGGUACACACUACUUCUACAUUGCUAAGUCAGCUUGAACUUCACCAACUCGCA